CGCUGAGCCGCUCGCGCACGCUCUUCUUGGUGGGAAGCGAUCAGCGAUUGUUUUGAGAAAAUCUUUAACCCUCUUCAGAAAGAUUCAUCGACCACGACACCACCAGAGGUCAAUUAGUUCCUCUAGAAGCAAUAUUCCCCAGAACUGCGAUAACGGAAGAUCGAAAAGAAGCCAGUUCCUGUAUCAUUAAACAGCACAAAACGACGUUCAAGACAUCGAAGACUCGGAAUGAAAUAAUCGAGUCACCAUUUCAACCAAAUUGGUCUGAGACCUGCUAAGAUUAAGAGAAGAAAUGAGAGGAAACAUCUUUUAAAUAGAUAAAAGAACGCUUUGUGCUUUUCUUCA